UACGGGGGGGGCAAGCGUUGUUCGGAAUUACUGGGCGUAAAGGGCUCGUAGGCGGCCAACUAAGUCAGACGUGAAAUCCCUCGGCUUAACCGGGGAACUGCAUCUGAUACUGGAUGGCUUGAGUUCGGGAGAGGGAUGCGGAAUUCCAGGUGUAGCGGUGAAAUGCGUAGAUAUCUGGAGGAACACCGGUGGCGAAGGCGGCAUCCUGGACCGACGACUGACGCUGAGGAGCGAAAGCCAGGGGAGCAACGGG
rnacentral:rRNA from 1 species